GACGAACGCUGGCGGCGUGCUUAACACAUGCAAGUCGAACGGGCCUGUCUUCUUUUUUGGGGGUGGGUUGAGUGGCGAACGGGUGAGUAUCCCGUGAGUAACCUGCCCUUCGGUCCUGGAUAACCGCUUGAAAGGGCGGCUAAUACGGGGUGGUCCGGUUGGUCCGCAUGGGCUGGUCGGGAUAGAUUCACUGUUUUUGGUGUUUCGGCGGGGGAUGGGCUCGCGGCCUAUCAGCUUGUUGGUGGGGUGAUGGCCUACCAAGGCGGUGACGGGUAGCCGGCCUGAGAGGGUGGGCGGCCACACUGGGACUGAGAUACGGCCCAGACUCCUGCGGGAGGCAGCAGUGGGGGGUAUUGCACAAUGGGCGGAAGCCUGAUGCAGCGACGUCGCGUGAGGGAUGGAGGCCUUCGGGUUGUGAACCUCUGUUUCCGGUGGUGAAGGCCCUGUCCGUGUGGUGGGGUUGACGGUAGCCGGGGAUGAAGCGCCGGCUAACUACGUG
rnacentral:rRNA from 1 species